GCUAGAGGAUGCAUACCAGAACAGUUCUGACAUACUUCAAAGCACUAUAUAUAUAUUUACACAGCGGUAUGUAGAGCGUGUUUUGGCAACUGAGGAGGAGAAAAUGAUGUGCUGCAGCAUUGAGUAUAUUCAUCCCAAACAGUCAUCACAGGCCUUUGUCUAUGGAGGGAUUCUUCUAGCUGGAUUUUUUGUAUACUUCAUUGUUAUUUUCUUUUCUUCACCAGUCCGCUGAAAGAAACAUGCGCCUGAAGAUUAGAGGCUUGUAGUGCUGAAUUUUUGAAAACUUAGAUAUGAUCGAAAGUAGUAAUACAAAUCUCGUUCUAA